AUUGAACGCUAGCGGCAGGCCUAACACAUUCAAGUCGAACGAGUGGCGGACGGGUGAGUAAUGUCUGGGAAACUGCCUGAUGGAGGGGGAUAACUACUGGAAACGGUAGCUAAUACCGCAUACCAUCAGAUGUGCCCAGAUGGGAUUAGCUUGUUGGUGGGGUAACGUCUCACCAAGGCGACGAUCCCUAGCUGGUCUGAGCGGAUGCACAGCCACACCGAAAAUGAUACAGUGCCCAGAGUCCGACGGGAGGCAGCAGUGGGGAAUAUUGCACGUUGGGCGCAAGCCUGAUGCAGCCAGGCCGCGUGUAGGAAGAAGGCCGUCGGGUUGUAAAGUACUUUCAGCGGGUAGGCGUUACUCGCAGAAGAAGCACCGGCUAACUCCGUGCCAGCAGCCGCGGUAAUUC
rnacentral:rRNA from 1 species